rnacentral:rRNA from 1 species
ACGUACACCCUACGGGAGGCAGCAGUGGGGAAUAUUGCACAAUGGGCGCAAGCCUGAUGCAGCCAUGCCGCGUGUAUGAAGAAGGCCUUCGGGUUGUAAAGUACUUUCAGCGGGGAGGAAGGCGAUAAGGUUAAUAACCUUGUCGAUUGACGUUACCCGCAGAAGAAGCACCGGCUAACUCCGUGCCAGCAGCCACGGUAAUACGGAGGGUGCAAGCGUUAAUCGGAAUUACUGGGCGUAAAGCGCACGCAGGCGGUCUGUCAAGUCGGAUGUGAAAUCCCCGGGCUCAACCUGGGAACUGCAUUCGAAACUGGCAGGCUAGAGUCUUGUAGAGGGGGGUAGAAUUCCAGGUGGAGCGGUGAAAUGCGUAGAGAUCUGGAGGAAUACCGGUGGCGAAGGCGGCCCCCUGGACAAAGACUGACGCUCAGGUGCGAAAGCGUGGGGAGCAAACAGGAUUAGAAACCCCGGUAGUCCC